UCUUCUUCUUCUUCUUCUUCUUCUUCUUCAACAUCUACAUCCUUACCAUAGGAUGUAGCCCAGGAAGUUUGACUCAACAUACAAGUUAACAAAUUUCUCUAGUAAAUGUAACUCUGAUGUAUGUAAUUGUCCAGCACACCCAUCACCACAAAAGCAAAUAAUGAAGACUGGAAAUUUUUCCUUUAGAGGACCAUGGAUGCUGGUGUUAACAACUAUCUAGGCUGAGUACUUAUGCAAGACAUUUCCUCCCAUAUAGUAUGUGACAGCUUUGGUUUUCCAUUAAUCCAGGCACUACUCAUAAAAGUUAUUAGUUCAUGAUUUUUAAGAACAGUGAGUUUAAUUUUAGUAUGUUACUCCAAAAAAUUUGUGGUUUAACUUGGCAUUUCCAAGAUUUUUCCUUCUGUUUCUCUAACUGUUUAAAAACAAUGGACAUUAAAUAAAGACAUAUGUUUUAGAAUCUGAUUCAGUAAAUUCUCAAUGGAGCCAUGUACGUUCACUGUCCCCCGACUGCAACAGAUUUUUUUUCAGUACCAUAGUCACCAGUAUUUUGUAAAUUAUUCACAUGUCGUACUUAUUACAUUGUAUUGUUUUGCAAUGUUCACCUUCAGUACUGUGCCACAUCUUACCAGCUCUGUAGGUUUUCUGGAAAGUUUUCAGUGUAGCAACAUUUCCAAAAAAGUUGAAAUUUGUAUAUUGACGUAGUAUGUAAAUGUUAGGCUGUCUGGGAUGGAAGUAUUUGAGAUGGGCAGAAUUAAUAAAAUAUUUAAUUGUGGAUGUUUAGGUCAGGAUUUUAAAACUAAAAUACCCAUAUGCUUCUGUAAUUUUCAUUGUCCUGUGAUUUUGCAAGGUCAUUCUCUUCCCUUCAUUUAACUAACUUUGUGCUUUUUCUUUCAGGGUAUUUUCAACAGGCAUCACUCAAAUAAAGCUUUCAGACCUUCUCUUAGAUAUCUCAUUCCACACCCACUUGUUGGUUUUUUAUUUUAUUUGAUUAUUUUAAUGCAUAUCUGAUACAUUAUCUAAGAGUUUAGCAAGAACUGCUUUCUUUUAAUUAGACUGUCCAGCAGAAUUUUGUGGACUCAUUUAACUACACUAGAGAAGGAUGGGGCACAUUUGUAGAAUUCAAAUGAUGAUACCGGUUGGUUAGGCAAUCUUAUGGUUGUGUUGAAUAAUCCCUCCAAAACUACAAUGCAGUAUUCUACUGAAGAGGUUCUGGAAGAAAGUGAUGACCCAAGAGCAUAUUUUGAGGAGACCAUUACCACCAUGGCCACCUGCAGAGGCCUGGGCAUAGCAUAUUUAGAUCAUGAGCAUCUGAUAUGUAAACUGUGCAUGUGCAGCCAAUUGUGUGACGGAAGUGUCGCUGACCUUGUGGCCUGUCUCCGUACAGGAACCAAAACUCCUGUAAUGAUAUCAUCUUCACUGAUAAUGAUUGUGAUGGGUGAAGCAUAAAGACAAUGAUCCAAGAAAGAGUUCAGUGUGUGGGAAUGUUUAUUCAGACCAAAUCUGACCUGCAGGGUCAAAGAACUUCCAAGUAUGAAAUAGGAAGCAGCCACCCUCAUAGGCAUUGAUAAGCUGGUGAUACAGCAAUUUUAUGUAGUCAGGAAUCACUGAUGUGAAGCAUCAUACUAGACCACCUGGGACAAAUGAAGCUGACACAGAAUGGAUAUAGUUGGCUUUUCAACACUCACUACAGAAAGUCUGUUUGGAGGGCGUUGCAGAUGCUGCAAAUUCCUGGGAUGACUGUACACCAUGUUCUUUAGAAACAUUUACAGAAGUAUCCAUACUGAGUGCAAUUGUUGGACACACUGAGACCAGACAACAAGCCACAACGUAUGCAUUUUACUGUGCACACCUUUGAACUUUCUUUCGCAAUCCAUAUGGUGAUCAUAGCUUCAUACAGCACUUGCUGUGACAUAGGAAUUUCUGCUGCCAAACUCAUCCUCUGCAUAGUGCCCAAGGAUUACCUCAAGCAAAUAAUAAAAAUGCAAAAUAAAUGUUUCAACAUAUAUCGGAUAGCAUCUACAUGUAAAUGAUAGUUUCUCGGGACCAACCUUGCCCUAUUUAGUUGUUAUUAAAAUUAUAAUAAAAUUAGUUUUAUGCACACUUACUGAAUAAUAAUAAUAAUAAUAAUAAUAAUAAUAAGUGUGUGUGUGUGUGUGUGUGUGUGUGUGUGUGUGUGUGUGUGUGUGUGUGUGUGUAUCGGAUUAUUAUUAAUGUUCUGUGUGUACGAAAUUGUGCUACUGUUCAUUCACUUUACCUUGCAUCGUUUCUCUUUUUUUCUGUGUCCAUCACUAUAUAUAUUUUAAUUAUAUUUGUCAUCUUCUGAAAGCUUCUCCUUCUUGUUAACCUUGUGAAAAUAUGACUGUGGACUUCGUUUCCUACAUUUCAAUUGUAGAUGCAGGCAACCGACUCCAGGGAACACCAGUGCCUCUCAACAUGACAUAAAACAUGAAGGAAAUUCCUCCCAACU